rnacentral:lncRNA from 1 species
AAAGAAGUGUCGUCGUUUCCAAUUUAAUUUUUGUUUGUCUUCUUGAUCAGAUAAGUUAGAAGUACUGAUGUUUUUAGCUCUAGCAAAUGUCUAAAAGCGCCAGCUGCGCCUCCUCCUUGUACUGCUAAUGAAUUAUGAAUAUGGGGCAAUAUAUCUCCCAGUGAUGAGGACAUUUCUAAUACUGUGGUAUCACCCGGAUUCGUAGCCGUACGGGCGCGUGCUGCGGCACACUCCUCUAUUCUAUUCCAGCGCUGCGCUCCAGUUCAUUAGUAACCUUCUCCUCCCGACAGCGUUGGGCAGAAUUCGGGGCGGGCAAAGCGCGUGAUUGACAGCUACAUGGACCAAUGGGAAUACGGGAAAUGCUGACAGGUUCCGAGACGAAGCGGCUCCAGCGUUUCGCCCGGACACAAUGCGGGUGUAAAAUGGCGCAGAGAGGGAUGUGAACGCGCCGAGGCAAAUGGAGCACCGAGCGGAAGAGCCGCAGAUGUUUGCGAGGGUUGAACACAGACGUGAUGAUGAUGAUGAUGAUGUCCACCGAACGUCCCGGAGCCCAGAGCUGCACGACCGGGUCGGUGUCGACUCUCAUACGCCGGGAAGCAGAGUACAGCGGUUUCAGGAUGCGACGUGUUUUCGGACGCCCGGGGUGCUGUGAGCUACACCCCACCCCCCCGCGCAAUUCCCAAACUGGAGGAAUGGAGUUUGGGAGGUCAGUGAUGAGACUGGUCUUUACCUUGCCCCCCUGAUCAAGGGCAGACUGCUUGGAAAAUGUGGUUCUGUCGCUGGAAAGGUGGGCGGUAACAUCCAGCCCAGCGCGGGACAAAAGCCGCCCCACCCCUUCAAACAAUAUGCAUCCCAUUCUUCUCAUUCCUUGUGUUAAUGAAAAGGUUAACCAGCAAUAUCAACGGUACGGUUUCUCACGGUGAAAAGCAUCCUGAUGUCGAGCUGUCCACCAUAUAUAAAUCCAGAUAUUGUAUAUUCUCUAGAUAAACCCAUUUAGCUUGCCUUCUUUAUGGGGGGGGGGGAAUCAACUUGAAAACUCCACCCUUUCUUAAAAAAAUAAAACUUUUAUUAAAUUAGGUCA